rnacentral:rRNA from 1 species
CAUGGCUGUCGUCAGCUCGUGUCGUGAGAUGUUGGGUUAAGUCCCGCAACGAGCGCAACCCUUGUCAUUAGUUGCUACGAAAGGGCACUCUAAUGAGACUGCCGGUGACAAACCGGAGGAAGGUGGGGAUGACGUCAAGUCCUCAUGGCCCUUAUAGGUGGGGCUACACACGUCAUACAAUGGCCGGUACAAAGGGUCGCAAACCCGCGAGGGGGAGCCAAUCCAUCAAAGCCGGUCGUAGUCCGGAUCGCAGUCUGCAACUCGACUGCGUGAAGUCGGAAUCGCUAGUAAUCGUGGAUCA